rnacentral:rRNA from 1 species
GCUUAACGCGAAGAACCUUACCUGGUCUUGACAUCCACAGAAUUCUGCAGAGAUGCGGAAGUGCCUUCGGGAACUGUGAGACAGGUGCUGCAUGGCUGUCGUCAGCUCGUGUUGUGAAAUGUUGGGUUAAGUCCCGCAACGAGCGCAACCCUUAUCCUUUGUUGCCAGCGGUUAGGCCGGGAACUCAAAGGAGACUGCCAGUGAUAAACUGGAGGAAGGUGGGGAUGACGUCAAGUCAUCAUGGCCCUUACGACCAGGGCUACACACGUGCUACAAUGGCGCAUACAAAGAGAAGCGACCCCGCGAGGGCAAGCGGACCUCAUAAAGUGCGUCGUAGUCCGGAUUGGAGUCUGCAACUCGACUCCAUGAAGUCGGAAUCGCUAGUAAUCGUGGAUCAGAAUGCCACGGUGAAUACGUUCCCGGGUCUUGUACACACCG